rnacentral:rRNA from 1 species
GACGAACGCUGGCGGCGUGCUUAACACAUGCAAGUCGAACGGAAAGGCCCUGCUUUUGUGGGGUGCUCGAGUGGCGAACGGGUGAGUAACACGUGAGUAACCUGCCCUUGACUUUGGGAUAACUUCAGGAAACUGGGGCUAAUACCGGAUAGGAUCUCCUGCUGCAUGGUGGGGGUUGGAAAGUUUCGGCGGUUGGGGAUGGACUCGCGGCUUAUCAGCUUGUUGGUGGGGUAGUGGCUUACCAAGGCUUUGACGGGUAGCCGGCCUGAGAGGGUGACCGGCCACAUUGGGCCUGCGAUACGGCCCAGACUCCUACGGGAGGCAGCAGUGGGAAAUAUUGCACAAUGGGCGGAAGCCUGAGGCAGCAACGCCGCGUGCGGGAUGACGGCCUUCGGGUUGUAAACCGCUUUCGCCUGUGACGAAGCGUGAGUGACGGUAAUGGGUAAAGAAGCACCGGCUAACUACGUG